GGCGAACGCUGGCGGCGUGCUUAACACAUGCAAGUCGAACGAAGCUUGAUUACGGAUUCUUCGGAUGAAGUAUGAUAUGACUGAGUGGCGGACGGGUGAGUAACGCGUGAGUAACCUGCCCUUCAGAGGGGGAUAGCGUUUGGAAACGAACGGUAAUACCGCAUAAUGUAUUUUGACCGCAUGAUCGAAAUACCAAAGAUUUAUCGCUGAAGGAUGGACUCGCGUCUGAUUAGGUAGUUGGUGGGGUAACGGCCUACCAAGCCGACGAUCAGUAGCCGGACUGAGAGGUUGAUCGGCCACAUUGGGACUGAGACACGGCCCAGACUCCUACGGGAGGCAGCAGUGGGGAAUAUUGCACAAUGGGCGCAAGCCUGAUGCAGCAACGCCGCGUGAAGGAAGACGGUUUUCGGAUUGUAAACUUCUGUUCUUAGUGAAGAAUAAUGACGGUAGCUAAGGAGCAAGCCACGGCUAACUACGUG
rnacentral:rRNA from 1 species